UACGUAGGGGGCAAGCGUUGUCCGGAAUUAUUGGGCGUAAAGAGCGUGUAGGCGGCCAGAUAAGUCCGCUGUGAAAUCUCGAGGCUCAACUUCGAGCUGUCGGUGGAAACUAUCUGGCUAGAGUCCGGAAGAGGAGAAUGGAAUUCCUGGUGUAGCGGUGAAAUGCGCAGAUAUCAGGAAGAACACCCCGUGGCGAAGGCGGUUCUCUGGGGACGGUACUGACGCUGAGACGCGAAAAGCGUGGGGGAGCGAACAGGG
rnacentral:rRNA from 1 species